AUGCUCACCUUGGCAGCACAUACACUAAAAUUAGAACUAUACAGAGAAGAUUACCAUGGCCCCUGGGCAAGGAUGACACGCAAAUUCAUGAAGUGUUCCAAAUUUUU
ensembl:snRNA U6 U6 spliceosomal RNA